CAUGAAGGAGACCAUCACGGGCGAGUCCUGCUCCCUGCACCACGGUGAGGUUGGCUGUGCUCAAGGAGCUCACGCUGUCCUUCAAGGAAAUGGAAUUCAGGGCGCACCGACCGAUUCACUGUUUUAUUUUCCCUGGCCUGUUUCCACCGAGCAGCUAAGUAGCAGCAGGUCCUUCUGAAGGUGUGAGCGAAAGGCGGACGAGCCCCCGGGAAGAGUCUCAAAGAAGGUCUCUUCAGCGGGGGGUGUGGGGACAGGGCUUCCCAAGGAGGGCGGUGGUGAGGCCCUUUCCGCCUGCCCCAGGGUGGGGCUGAGCUCCAGCGGCGGAAGCUGGGGGCCACGGAGCUACGCGUGCGUGUGCUGACCCACGCAGUUUGAAACCCUCCCAAUGUCCCGGCAACGUCACCCUCCGAGUCCCGACACGGUCCCACCACGCUCUCCCCGAAGACGUCCUUCUGCAGGUGCCCGCAGACAACGCGGACUCUGUGAGAAAGGUUCUCCUGGCAACCCGGCCUGUGGGUCACACGCCCCUUCCACACCCAGCGCUGCACACCCUCGUUGAGGGGGACCCAGGAGAGGACGUCACGGUCCUGCAGCGUGUGGGUGGGGAGGAAGGGCCGGAGCACCAGGCCUCUGGUAACACCAUGGUUGGAGGGGCAAACAGAGGUCGUGUUUCAGCUCUGGGCCACGGAGGAGGCUUGUGGCAGACAGACAUGUUCCGCAUCACACUGUCUGUGAAGACUGCAGACACUUCUAUGCAUCCAUUCCCGUGCGCUAGGCAUGUCGGAAGGGGGAACGGGCCUCCACAGGGCCAGACGUCACAAGGACCUCACUAGGCUGCCCUUCGGGGCCCCGUGAUGCUCCUGGUCUAUGACAAGACCGCGGCGCUCCGUGUGUCCCCAGCAUCUUUAUCCAGAAAGACCCUGGAGAAUCCAGGGCCCACGCAGUCCUGCCGGCCUCACCAGCCCCUUCCUACUCUGCCCAGGCCUGCCAAUCCCACUUCACACAAAUGGCCGUGCAGAAUUCUCUUCCCGGGAGCUGGGGAUUUCCCUCCCUUUUUAGGAAGUUCGCUUCUGGUAUCUUCCUCACCAUCAGAAAGUUAGGACCCAAAUUGCCCACAGGUACUCCACGCCCUGGGAAAUGCCCGGACCCUGUUCCCGGUGGGUCACAAAGGCUGCGACGGGACACGGCCACCCUCCCGGCCCCGCUGGGCUGCUCUCACAGGGCUGCUCUCACAAGGCCUCAACGCCGCCCGCCCACGCACGUGUGUGCCCACACGCAUGUGCGAAACAUAUUUUGUGAUAACAGCUCUACGCAGACAUGGUACCCAUGGCCGAUAAAGUAGGGCCUCUUGUGGAAAGCCCCGCAGAGCUGGAUGGAUCACAACCCCGGAGCGCCGUAUCAGAGGAAAGCUAAUCAAAAAUGACGUGGGAGACAUUGUGCUGCCGACCGCUGAGCUCCGUCUCGGCCUCCUUGGAGAGAUGCUCCCCGUGCUUGUUCUCGGCGAGCCCUUGUCCGGCCCCCGGAAGACCGGCGGGGCCUCCCCGCUUCCUGCCGUUUGUCUUCCCGCUCUCCGGCUCCGACCCUCCUUCCAAAGUCCUCCUGCAGGCUUUCGGCAAGAGGCAUUUAGGAAGGCAACGGAUUAUGCAAUUUCAGUUCAAGGGCUUGUUCUCAGAAAAAUGACUCAGAUUCUAGAAAGGGUCUGUGUAUUCGGAUGAGAAAUGAGGGAUCCCUACUUGCGCGCAGUCCCUCCCGGGCGGUGUCUGGCCGAGGGAAGAGGGGGCAGGUAACGUGAGAGCCGAGCGGCUGGUGUCUGGUCUGGAGCCCCACGUGCAUGGGGCCCGCACAGAAAGCCUUGUUUUAAUGGACUUGACCUCAAUCAGGUUUUUAAGACGAUCUUUUCCUGGGCUUCUCCUUGUUUCCUCCUUCUUGGAGGACAAGGAAAUCACGGUUAAGCAGCAGCGGGCGCUAGGGCUUGUGGGCAGCUUUGACACCAUCAGAGCCGCAAAAUUUGCAUCCCUGUAAUCCAGUAACCUGUCCCAGCAAACAUCUGCUGGUGUCAGUUCCUUUUCUGACUUCUUCGUCGGCAGAAGGAGGGGCAGAGCCCUGCGCUCGCGUUCCAGGGGCCGGGGAUCGGGGUCAGUGCGUCCUUCACACCAAGCGGCGGCUCUGGGGUCCCACACCAGAGAGGAGGGAACAGAAGGAACGGCUCUGGAGGUUGGCCGGGCACCCGAGCUGUGCACUUUCACGGGCUCCCAGGAGAUGGCACCCACUUUGUGCAAAAAGAUCUCCGAGCACCCCGUUUCCCUUUCUGGAGGCACACGGCUCCAGCGGCUCAGCACCCUGAGAGGCGCUUGUGAGGAGACGGAAGUAGGCAGUGCUCAGUGGCGCUUGGUCUUGAGAGCAGAGCCCUGCUCGGUGACCCCCCGGAGGGGCGAUGAGGACAGUUGUCAGAGCCCAGCGCUCGACCAGGCUGGGGCAGGGUCACCAAGUGUGGCCUGAGAGAAGGCGAGACUAAAAGCAUGCA